UACGUAGGGGGCGAGCGUUGUCCGGAUUUAUUGGGCGUAAAGAGCUCGUAGGCGGUUUGGCAAGUCGGGUGUGAAAACUCCGGGCUCAACUCGGAGACGCCACUCGAUACUGCUAUGACUUGAGUCCGGUAGGGGAGUGCGGAAUUCCUGGUGUAGCGGUGAAAUGCGCAGAUAUCAGGAGGAACACCGGUGGCGAAGGCGGCACUCUGGGCCGGUACUGACGCUGAGGAGCGAAAGCGUGGGGAGCGAGCAGG
rnacentral:rRNA from 1 species